rnacentral:tRNA from 2 species
GCCCGAUUAGCUCAGCUGGUUAGAGCGUCGUACUAAUACUGGAAACAGUACCAAGUAAUGCGAAGGUCAACAGUUCAAUCCUGUUAUUGGGCA